ACCGGUAGUUCAGUUGGUUAGAAUACCGGCCUGUCACGCCGGGGGUCGCGGGUUCGAGUCCCGUCCGGUC
rnacentral:tRNA from 4 species